GUCGAGAAUCUUUCACAAUGGGGGCAACCCUGAUGGAGCGACGCCGCGUGGAGGAUAAGGUCUUCGGAUUGUAAACUCUUGUCAUGCGUGAACAAGGUUGCUUGGUUAAUACCUGGGCAAAUUGAUGGUAACGCAAGAGGAAGAGACGGCUAACUCUGUGCCAGCAGCCGCGGUAAUACAGAGGUCUCAAGCGUUGUUCGGAAUCACUGGGCGUAAAGGGUGCGUAGGUGGCGUGGUAAGUCAGAUGUGAAAGCCCGGGGCUCAACCUCGGAACUGCAUCCGAUACUGCCAUGCUAGAGUACUGGAGAGGUGACUAGAAUUCUCGGUGUAGCAGUGAAAUGCGUAGAUAUCGAGAGGAAUACCAAAGGCGUAGGCAGGUCACUGGACAGUUACUGACACUGAGGCACGAAGGCCAGGGGAGCGAACGGGAUUAGAUACCCUGGUAGUCC
rnacentral:rRNA from 1 species